rnacentral:rRNA from 1 species
UUCUGGUUGAUCCCGCCAGAGGUUACUGCUAUUGGUGUUCGACUAAGCCAUGCAAGUCAUAUGUUCCUCGUGAACAUGGCAUACUGCUCAGUAACACGUGGAUAACCUGCCCUUGGGUCUGGGAUAACCCCGGGAAACUGGGGAUAAUACUGGAUAACGCAUAUGUGCUGGAAUGCUUUAUGCGUAAAACGGAUUCGUCCGCCCAAGGAUGGGUCUGCGGCCUAUCAGGUAGUAGUGGGUGUAAUGUACCUACUAGCCAACAACGGGUACGGGUUGUGAGAGCAAGAGCCCGGAGAUGGAUUCUGAGACAUGAAUCCAGGCCCUACGGGGCGCAGCAGGCGCGAAAACUUUACAAUGCGGGAAACCGUGAUAAGGGAACACCGAGUGCCAGCAUCAUAUGCUGGCUGUCCAGAUGUGUAAACUACAUCUGUUAGCAAGGGCCGGGCAAGACCGGUGCCAGCCGCCGCGGUAACACCGGCGGCCCGAGUGGUGACCGUUAUUAUUGGGUCUAAAGGGUCCGUAGCCGGUUUGGUCAGUCCUCCGGGAAAUCUGAUAGCUUAACUGUUAGGCUUUCGGGGGAUACUGCCAGGCUUGGAACCGGGAGAGGUAAGAGGUACUACAGGGGUAGGAGUGAAAUCUUGUAAUCCCUGUGAGACCACCUGUGGCGAAAG